AAGACCUUGCACUUUUGGAGCGGCCGAUGUCUGAUUAGCUAGUUGGUGGGGUAAUGGCCUACCAAAGCUUCGAUCAGUAGCUGGUCUGAGAGGACGGCCAGCCACACUGGGACUGAGACACGGCCCAGACUCCUACGGGAGGCAGCAGUGGGGAAUUUUGGACAAUGGGCGCAAGCCUGAUCCAGCCAUGCCGCGUGAGUGAAGAAGGCCUUCGGGUUGUAAAGCUCUUUCAGUCGAGAAGAAAAAGCUGCAGUGAAUAACUGUAGUUCAUGACGGUAUCGACAGAAGAAGCACCGGCUAACUACGUGCCAGCAGCCGCGGUAAUACGUAGGGUGCGAGCGUUAAUCGGAAUUACUGGGCGUAAAGCGUGCGCAGGUGGUUUUGCAAGUCAGAUGUGAAAUCCCCGGGCUCAACCUGGGAACU
rnacentral:rRNA from 1 species